UUGUGGCAGGCUUAUGCAAUGUAUGAUCAUAUAAUGUAACUAAAUCCCCAUUAUUUUCUGCCUAGAUUAGGUGUUUUUUAAACAAAACCUUUAGAAAAAACUUUAAAAAAACUAAUAAAAUCUGCCAACAAGUUGCUGUUUAGUAGAUAGGAGAGUGCGCUGGAUCUUGUGUAUUGUUGACUGCACCUACCAUGGUGACCACGAGUAACGGGGAAUCAGGGUUCGAUUCCGUACCGGGACCCUGACAAACGGCUAGCACAUGCAAGGAAGGCAGCAGGUGCGCAAAUGACCCACUCCCGACGCGGGAAGGUAGUGACGACAA